UAUUAUGCUAAUUUUAGGUGAAAUAUUUG
rnacentral:piRNA from 1 species